AGAAGUCUGGUUUGGUAGUAGAGCAUUUGCCUGCCAUGCAGAAACCCUAGGUUCAAUCCCUAGUACCUCAA
rnacentral:tRNA from 1 species